rnacentral:lncRNA from 1 species
UUUUCUUGAAUAAUACUAAUCAAACUAUAGUUCACAAAAAUACGUACGAUUUAUUUAUUAACAACCUCACGUCUAGCAAGGUAAAGUACAAAGGUUCCGAACAUUUAACAACAACUUCUAGCUUAUGAGAUUACAAUACUAUAACAUAAAUAAGUUCAAACGCUGAUAUUUAUAAUACAAGACAGCGAUUAUUCUUAACUUAAUCGAACCACUAUUUUACAAAUAUAAACAAGGUAGUUACUCGGAUGGGAAUUCCUCUGAUUCAUUCAAGCCGCGCUUGUGUCUGAGAAUAUGACAGAAUAAAGUAGAGGGAUAAGUCAUAGAAGACUUAGUGAGGUGAAAUAUAAGAAUAACGAGUGACGACAUGAUCUGAGAGAAAGUUCAAUGAUCGAACCAAUUGGUGAUAUCGGAAAAUAGAAGCGUUUAAAGGUUUUGCUUCAAUCAGAAAUUCAAGAAUAAUAGUAAGAAUGUUCAAUCGAUUUUCCGAUCAAUAGAGAUAAGAAUACACCUACCUUGUGACUCCCGUAGCCGUUUACUACCUUAUUCACCGAUCAGGGAAUGACCCUGUAAUGCAAUGUGGCAUGCCCGGGCGCAUGCCGGUUUAGCCCGAAACC